UGUAGUAAAAGUUUGAAAAAACAAAAACAUUCGAGCUACUCCUGUGCUGGAUUACCCUUCACAUAACUAAAAAUAAUAAAAAUGGCCAUUAGGGCUAGGGAAACCCACGACCUGAAUAGUGGAAGCAGCUCUGGAAUGGAGUGAAAAUGCCUUGGGCUCUCUGCAGAUUCACGUAAGUGUAAAAAUCCUUACUUAAGCAGAAGGAAGAAAUCGAAUGUGGUCAGCUCUUCAUGGGGAUGUCAAGGCAUUCGCUAUAAAUCAUAUUUCUUUUAAGUUUUUUUCUCUAUGCCUUGUUUUUUUGAGAUGAAAGGAAAUGCAGUUGCAUAUUUGAUCAAUAUCAGAAGCAGAAACGGUAAGAAAGCAGCCUAAACAAAUGGUUACAAUUAUGUGCAUUGUGGACGAAAUAAAGAACAAAUCAGAUGAGGGGAAUACAGAGGCCGUAUUCAGUUCUUUUGCAUUUUUUCCCCGGAUGGAAGGCCGACUUUCUAGAUCUGAGAAUUGGGCAUACAUUUAUGGGUACUACAGAGGAAGGACAAGGGAGUAUCUGGAUAAAUUUUUUCUGUGGAAACAUUCGAAAUGGCUAUUUACGGUGUAGGGAUGGCAAUGGUAGGUUAUUUUCAAAAGAGAGUUCACAGAAAGAUGCGGAAUCCUUGUCUGUCGGGGAAAGUGAGGAAGUGAUUUCGUCUCAGCAUGGAGAUGUUAAGGAAGAUGGUGGACAUUUGGGAAAGAGAAAGGGUUUUAGAUCUUCGGGAAAGAAGUUAGAAAUUUUGAAUGAAAUUCAUGAUAUCCUGAAGACGGGUUCCCAAGCAGACAAGCUUCUUUAUCAAAUGGGUUCUUCAAUUUCUGCAGAAAUUGCAUAUAUGGUGAUGAAGAGUGAGAAAGAUGUUAAGAUGAUUUUCAGGUUUUUUUUGUGGGCUAUGCAGAAACAAUCCUUGAUUAGUUUUCGAGGUUUGCAGAAUUUGAUGAUUGAGAUAUUGAAAGAAAGUAGGGAAUUUGAGGUCGCUUGGGAUUUACUUAGAGAAGUGAGGAGAGAAGGAAAAAUGACCAAUGCUGCUUCUUUUAAUGUUCUGAUAUCGGCAUAUGGAAAGGUGGGUAUGGUGGAGAAAGCAAUAGAAUCAUUUGUUGUAAUGGAGGAGGAGUUUUCCUGCAGGCCUGACAUUUUCACCUGGAAUACCAUGUUGGAUAUUCUUGUCAAUGACCAAAUGAUUGAGAUAGCUUGGGCUCUCUACCAUAGGAUGCUGACAACAGAUUGCUCGCCAGACACGACAACUCUUAACAUCCUUAUUAGAUGUCUCUGUAAAGCGGGCAAGACUCAGGAGGCCCUUGAGUUAUAUGAUGAAAUGACUGCGAGGGGAAUCGUUGCUAAUAUGACGACUUACGGAAUUAUAAUAAAGAGUCUUUGCCAGGCUGGGAAAAUAAAUAUGGCCACCCAGCUGUUAGCUUCAAUGAAAGCAAACAAUUGCUCUCCAGGGAUUGUUAUAUAUAAUAUCAUUAUCGAUGGCUUGUGUAAAAAUGGCCAAGUAGAUCAGGCUUUUGAGCUUCUUAAUAUUAUCAAGGAAAUGAAUGUUUCCCCGUGUGAAUAUACCUACACUUCUCUGAUUCACGGGCUUUUCAGAGCCGGAAGGUUUGAUGAGGCCUGCAAGUAUUAUAAAGACUUAUUUGAGGCCCAGACUCCAAAUCUGGUAUUAUAUACAGUAAUGAUUGAUGCAUACUGUGAAGCUGGCAGAGUUGUUGAUGCUUUUCACAUUUUUAAUGAGAUGAUCAGAACAAGAUGUUUGCCUGAUACUGUCUGUUACAACACACUGAUAAAGGGCCUUUGUAAGGUUGGCCUUGUAGAUGAGGCCAGAUCUGUUAAAUCAGAAAUGUUGCAGAAAGGCUAUCUUUUAGAUGUUGUUACAUAUACCACUCUGAUUUAUGGAUUGUGUGAGACAGGUCUUGUAGACGAAGCUCAUGACAUGUUUGAUAAGAUGCCAAAAACUGGAUGUUUUCCAAAUGUUUUCACCUACAACACAUUGAUUGAUGGCCUCUUUAAAGUUGGUGAAGUGACAAAGGCAUGCAUACUAUUUUACCAAAUGGAGUUGGGAAACAGCCCGACUUUCUUUCUAAGUAUUGCUCAAGGCAGCAAACAUUUUGGAGAUAGUGCUGACCUCCAAGCUUUAGCUGAUGGGCGGUGUGGUACUGGUCGUAUCCUUGAGGCUUAUAAGCUUCAUAAAAGGUUAUUGGAAAGUGGUGCUGUGCCAGAUGUCAUUACUUACAAUACAAUGAUCAAUGGCCUAUGCAAGAUAGGUAAAAUUGAUGGAGCCUUAAAAUUUUUUAAAGCAAUGCAUGUCAGGGGUUACGUCCCAGACUUAUUCACCUACAAUACAAUCAUCAAUGGUCUUUGUUUGGUCAAUAGAGAGAAUGAUGCCUUUACAGUGUUUCAUCAGAUGGCAGAAAAAGGAUGCAGUCCCGAUUCUGUAACCAUCAAGACACUUAUGACAUCAUUAUGCCAGGAAGGGCAGGAAGGUAAAGUAGUACAAGCUUUUAACCUCUGGAUUAGUUAUAUCUCUAAGAGAUAUGGUAUAAAUAAUCGAGACUCAGACAUGAUUCAGAUUCUUUCUUAUCAAGGAAAUUUCAAAGAAGCUUUUAGAACUGUGUUGCAGAUAGAUGCAAGUCAAAGUAAUGCAGAUUCUGGAGCAUACUGUAUUCUGAUCAUCGGUCUCUGCAGAGGUGGUAGACUAGAUGAUGCCUUGACACUCUUUGCUAUUAUUCAAGAAAAUAAACUUGACGUUACAGCACUUACAUAUGUAUUUCUUAUUACUGGUCUUUGCAAUGAGGGCAAAUCAACCAGAGCUUUAGAACUCUUCACCAAUUCAGUGAAGAGGGGUAUUUUUUUUAAUUUAAACCCUGAUGUGUGCGACAGACUUUUUAGAGGCACAUAAACUUAUAAAUGAAAUGAGAUAUGCUUUUUAAUAGAAAUUAGGAGCUGAGCUCUUUUGGGCCUAGGCUGUGCUUGCUUACAGUCUGAUGCAAAAUUCUGGUCUACCAAUUUUUAAACACAUUCAAAGAUGCAGCAAUUGUAUGUCAGGAGUCCUGCCAGACUGCAUUUCAAUCAAACAGCUACCAAAUUCAGAUGAAGAGAAAGAAUGCAGAUAUUACAGCAUGUGAAAAUAGGAAGAAAGCUAAUAUAAAUGCAUGAAAGAACUUGAGAGGAUGGUGGAGAAGAGCAGACCAAGAAAAAGAGAAAAUAUAGAAUUUAAUAGGAGCUUACAUGAAAGCAGAGAACAUAAGAUGACUGUUCUUAUAUGCUAGUUUCUGGUUGCUAAAUAUAUUAUGGGCGCAAGGAUGUAUGGGAUGGAAUUUGAUGACAGUUAUCUAUCAUGGUGGACAGUCCAUUUAUUGUACUUGAGCCAGGAGUUUGGACCAUAGGUGCAAGACCCGGAAAAGACCCGGAACUCAGCAGGCUGAUAUUUGACCCAGAUUUGGACUCAACAAAUUGAAAAUACUUGAAAUAUAGAGAUUUUUUAAGGAUUUUACUAUGGGCCUUUUAAUAAUUCAACUAUAAAAGCAUAAUAAACUUGUAAAUUAAAAGCUACUUUUAUCACAUCCACAAAUAUGCGCCAAUAAAUUGACUACAAAAACAGAUUUGAGUUGCAAGAAACAACAGUUUUUUAUUAAGAGAAUAAAAAUUU